AUUGAACGCUGGCGGCAGGCCUAACACAUGCAAGUCGAACGGUAACAGGAAGAAGCUUGCUUCUUUGCUGACGAGUGGCGGACGGGUGAGUAAUGUCUGGGAAACUGCCUGAUGGAGGGGGAUAACUACUGGAAACGGUAGCUAAUACCGCAUAACGUCGCAAGACCAAAGAGGGGGACUUUCGGGCCUCUUGCCAUCGGAUGUGCCCGGAUGGGAUUAGCUAGUAGGUGGGGUAACGGCUCACCGAGGCGACGAUCCCUAGCUGGUCUGAGAGGAUGACCAGCCACACUGGAACUGAGACACGGUCCAGACUCCUACGGGAGGCAGCAGUGGGGAAUAUUGCACAAUGGGCGCAAGCCUGAUGCAGCCAUGCCGCGUGUAUGAAGAAGGCCUUCGGGUUGUAAAGUACUUUCAGCGGGGAGGAAGGGAGUAAAGUUAAUACCUUUGCUCAUUGACGUUACCCGCAGAAGAAGCACCGGCUAACUCCGUG
rnacentral:rRNA from 1 species